rnacentral:rRNA from 1 species
UCCGUAGGUGAACCUGCGGAGGAUCAUA